rnacentral:rRNA from 1 species
CAGUAGCCACGGGAAUACGUAGGGCGCAAGCGUUAUCCGGAAUUAUUGGGCGUAAAGAGCUCGUAGGCGGUUUGUCGCGUCUGCCGUGAAAGUCCGGGGCUCAACCCCGGAUCUGCGGUGGGUACGGGCAGACUAGAGUGAUGUAGGGGAGACUGGAAUUCCUGGUGUAGCGGUGAAAUGCGCAGAUAUCAGGAGGAACACCGAUGGCGAAGGCAGGUCUCUGGGCAUUAACUGACGCUGAGGAGCGAAAGCAUGGGGAGCGAACAGGAUUAGAUACCCCGGUAGUCCCUGUCUCUUAUAA